CUAGCCAUUCUUGCACCAGGGGGUCCCUGUAACCAUCCCAUUGAAUCCAGAUCCUUCUCCUGACUUCCAAAGCCCCAAUAUGCAUGUUGGCUUGACUCACAAUGUGCAACAGCCUACCGGCCUGCGACAUCCUCCUGAAGGGCAUGGGUCCCUUGUCACAUACUAACUCUCUUGCCCAGAGGGCUCUGUCAGACUCAUCAUCCCCAAAGCAGCCUGUCGGCAGGACAGGAAGGCUCUGCAUUUUGACGAAGGGACCAGAGAUCACCUGGUCCAAACAUCGCACUUUAAAGGUUGAAGGCUCUUUUCAUCAGCCUUGUGUGCCUCUCCGACUGAUGGAUUUUGACCAUGUUUGGGGACCCUUAACAUUUUUCUAAAUAUGAUUGAAGUUCAAUUUGUGGUUCAGUUGGCUAUUUUGAAACAAAAUCA